rnacentral:rRNA from 1 species
UGGGGAAUAUUGCACAAUGGGAGCAAGCCUGAUGCAGCCAUGCCGCGUGUAUGAAGAAGGCCUUCGGGUUGUAAAGUACUUUCAGCGGGGAGGAAGGCGAUAAGGUUAAUAACCUUGUCGAUUGACGUUACCCGCAGAAGAAGCACCGGCUAACUCCGUGCCAGCAGCCGCGGUAAUACGGAGGGGGCAAGCGUUAAUCGGAAUUACUGGGCGUAAAGCGCACGCAGGCGGUCUGUCAAGUCGGAUGUGAAAUCCCCGGGCUCAACCUGGGAACUGCAUUCGAAACUGGCAGGCUAGAGUCUUGUAGAGGGGGGUAGAAUUCCAGGUGUAGCGGUGAAAUGCGUAGAGAUCUGGAGGAAUACCGGUGGCGAAGGCGGCCCCCUGGACAAAGACUGACGCUCAGGUGCGAAAGCGUGGGGAGCAAACA